GGUGCGGCGUUUCCGCUGGCAGUGGCGGCUCGGAGCUCGCUGGCACAUCGACGGGAUACAUCAACUGAUUUCUUGGCGGAUUCGGGAGAGCUUGCCUUGAGACUCAAUCGUUGAAAUCCAUCUUGAAGAUGGCUUAGAGGAAAGAAGGGGAUCCGGAAGGAUGAAGUAAUUGGACAUGCUGCCCAUGGAGCUUCGCUGGCUUCAUGAAAAGCACUUGAGAGCUCGCGCGUGCUGGGCUUCUAUUCUGAUGAGGCUGAUGGCUCUGCAUAAUGCGCUGAGUUAUGGAGACACAUUUGCUUAUAUGAUUUACAAUUUACAUGACAACAAGGUGGAGAUGGAAGAGAAUUGCUGCACUAGAAUU